AAAAUGAUGUACUUGUUGAGGCAUCCAGGCAUUCAGCUUUGAAUUUGGCUUAUGCAGUCAAAAUAAGAAUUUUGUAGGCACCUGCUUAGGAAAAAGUAGCAAUUACUCCAGAAAUGCUCAUAUGUGCAUUUCUGUGUCUGUUUUCCUGCUUGUUUUCAUCUGCUACAAUUUAUGUAGAAAUCUGUAGCUCAAAAAUGCUUCUUAGGAUCCAGAUGUGCAUUUAGUCAAAAACCAAAGAAUAUGCUGGGAGUGCACCAAUCAUGGCAGAGCAAACAGAUGUCUUUUCAAGUAUUUAACGAUAUUGGUAGUUUCAAAAGGAAAAAUCUGCCUUUGUGCUGGAGAUUGCAGGAGUGGAAGCUCAGUUUUACAUAAGGUUAUAAGGCAUAGAUCAGUGGAGAGAAUCCCUUGAUUUCUUGUAUAUUUCACCUUGGCAAUACAAACUGUAUUCAGCGGUUGUUCUCCAGGAGACACUGCUAAUAAGGGCUUCAGUCAGGGGAGAUGAAGAGAGGAACACGGUGGUAUCAGACACAGGAGCAUCACCUGACUGAUAGCUGCAUAGAUAUUUGUAGCACAACACAGUUGUUAGCAUGAGAACAGAUAUUGUAACUCUAGGCUGUUAUUUCCUCCAGGUGUUAAGUAAUACUGUUUUACUUGUGUUAUUUGAUCUGAAAAAGUUCAUUAACCCAUCAGCUGAAGUCUAUUCCAACUCUCAAACAGUGUUUGCUUUAUUUUAGCUGAUGGCAUCAAAGGUGAACUGGCCUGACCCUACAAAAUUCUAAAUGUCGAGCUGCUUUAACUGUUUAUGACCACUAAUGACCUUCCUCCGCCCUUCCCUGAGCUCCCACUGCUGAGCAGAACACUGUGUAGUGGGGAUGCUUCAGUAGGCUGUGCUGGCUACGUCCCCUCCCAGCCCGCUUGCCUUGACACUGCUCAAGCGGUGUUCCACAGAACAGGCAAAGCCACCAGCAUCAUUUCAGCCUCAGCUAAUGCAGGUGCAGCACCAUGUGAACACUAGAGAUUAAAGAAAAAAGUAAUCUCCCUGAUAGUGCCCUGCUAGAGAGGAGCUAUUUUAGAGUUGGUAUCUUUCUAAUAUUUUCUUAAUUGUAUGUGGAGACAGUGCUUGCUAAAUCACGUUAAAA
rnacentral:lncRNA from 1 species